rnacentral:rRNA from 1 species
UAACGCAUUAAAUGCUCCGCCUGGGGAGUACGACGCAAGGCUAAAACUCAAAGGAAUUGACGGGGGCCCGCACAAGCGGCGGAGCAUGCUGAUUAAUUAGAUGCAACGCGAAGAACCUUACCAAGGCUUGACAUGCACUGGACGGCUGUAGAGAUGUGGCUUUCUUUGGCUGGUGCACAGGUGGUGCAUGGGUCGUCAGCUAAAACGGAGAUUUGGGUUACUCAGUGCAAAGAGUGCACGGCUCGGACUAUGAGGGUAGCACGUGAUGGUGGCGACUCAUAGGAGACUUCGGGUUCCUCGGAGGAAGGUGGGGACGACGUCAAAUCAUCAUGUCCUUAUGUCUUGGGCUUCAAGCAUGCUACAAUGGUCGGUACA